rnacentral:rRNA from 1 species
CCGGUGCUUGCACCGGGGAUUAGUGGCGAACGGGUGAGUAACACGUGAGUAACCUGCCCUUGACUCUGGGAUAAGCCUGGGAAACUGGGUCUAAUACCGGAUAUGACUCCUCAUCGCAUGGUGGGGGGUGGAAAGCUUUUGCGGUUUUGGAUGGACUCGCGGCCUAUCAGCUUGUUGGUGAGGUAAUGGCUUACCAAGGCGACGACGGGUAGCCGGCCUGAGAGGGUGACCGGCCACACUGGGACUGAGACACGGCCCAGACUCCUACGGGAGGCAGCAGUGGGGAAUAUUGCACAAUGGGCGGAAGCCUGAUGCAGCGACGCCGCGUGAGGGAUGACGGCCUUCGGGUUGUAAACCUCUUUCAGUAGGGAAGAAGCGAAAGUGACGGUACCUGCAGAAGAAGCGCCGGCUAACUACGUGCCAGCAGCCGCGGUAAUACGUAGGGCGCAAGCGUUAUCCGGAAUUAUUGGGCGUAAAGAGCUCGUAGGCGGUUUGUCGCGUCUGCCGUGAAAGUCCGGGGCUCAACUCCGGAUCUGCGGUGGGUACGGGCAGACUAGAGUGAUGUAGGGGAGACUGGAAUUCCUGGUGUAGCGGUGAAAUGCGCAGAUAUCAGGAGGAACACCGAUGGCGAAGGCAGGUCUCUGGGCAUUAACUGACGCUGAGGAGCGAAAGCAUGGGGAGCGAACAGGAUUAGAUACCCUGGUAGUCCAUGCCGUAAACGUUGG